GAUGAACGCUGGCGGCGUGCCUAAUACAUGCAAGUCGAGCGAACAGACGAGGAGCUUGCUCCUCUGACGUUAGCGGCGGACGGGUGAGUAACACGUGGAUAACCUACCUAUAAGACUGGGAUAACUUCGGGAAACCGGAGCUAAUACCGGAUAAUAUAUUGAACCGCAUGGUUCAAUAGUGAAAGACGGUUUUGCUGGCACUUAUAGAUGGAUCCGCGCCGCAUUAGCUAGUUGGUAAGGUAACGGCUUACCAAGGCAACGAUGCGUAGCCGACCUGAGAGGGUGAUCGGCCACACUGGAACUGAGACACGGUCCAGACUCCUACGAGAGGCAGCAGUAGGGAAUCUUCCGCAAUGGGCGAAAGCCUGACGGAGCAACGCCGCGUGAGUGAUGAAGGUCUUCGGAUCGUAAAACUCUGUUAUUAGGGAAGAACAAAUGUGUAAGUAACUAUGCACGUCUUGACGGUACCUAAUCAGAAAGCCACGGCUAACUACGUG
rnacentral:rRNA from 1 species